rnacentral:tRNA from 1 species
AAUCUCAUAGCUCAAUUGGUUAGAGCACCGGUCUUUUAAACCGGGGGUUGAAGGUUCAAUUCCUUCUGGGAUUACAA